GACGAACGCUGGCGGCGUGCUUAACACAUGCCAGUCGAACGGAAAGGCCCUGCUUUUGUGGGGUGCUCGAGUGGCGAACGGGUGAGUAACACGUGAGUAACCUGCCCUUGACUUUGGGAUAACUUCAGGAAACUGGGGCUAAUACCGGAUAGGAGCUCCUGCUGCAUGGUGGGGGUUGGAAAGUUUCGGCGGUUGGGGAUGGACUCGCGGCUUAUCAGCUUGUUGGUGGGGUAGUGGCUUACCAAGGCUUUGACGGGUAGCCGGCCUGAGAGGGUGACCGGCCACAUUGGGACUGAGGUACGGCCCAGAAGCCUACGGGAGGCAGCAGGGGGGAAUAUUGCACAAUGGGCGGAAGCCUGAUGCAGCAACGCCGCGUGCGGGAUGACGGCCUUCGGGUUGUAAACCGCUUUCGCCUGUGACGAAGCGUGAGUGACGGUAAUGGGUAAAGAAGCACCGGCUAACUACGUG
rnacentral:rRNA from 1 species